GAUGAACGCUGGCGGCGUGCCUAAUACAUGCAAGUCGAGCGAACAGAUGAGGAGCUUGCUCCUCUGACGUUAGCGGCGGACGGGUGAGUAACACGUGGAUAACCUACCUAUAAGACUGGGAUAACUUCGGGAAACCGGAGCUAAUACCGGAUAAUAUAUUGAACCGCAUGGUUCAAUAGUGAAAUACGGUUUUGCUGUCACUUAUAGAUGGAUCCGCGCCGCAUUAGCUAGUUGGUAAGGUAACGGCUUACCAAGGCAACGAUGCGUAGCCGACCUGAGAGGGUGAUCGGCCACACUGGAACUGAGCCACGGUCCAGACUCCUACGGGAGGCAGCAGUAGGGAAUCUUCCGCAAUGGGCGAAAGCCUGACGGAGCAACGCCGAGUGAGUGAUGAAGGUCUUCGGAUCGUAAAACUCUGUUAUUAGGGAAGAACAAAUGUGUAAGUAACUAUGCACGUCUUGACGGUACCUAAUCAGAAAGCCACGGCUAACUACGUG
rnacentral:rRNA from 1 species